CGGCACUGCAGAUGUUUUGGACUACACCUCCCUUGAUGCUUUGCCAUCAUUAUGUGUGUUAGAGCAUUAUGGGGGAUGUAGUCCACAACAUCUGGAGUGCCG
rnacentral:miRNA from 1 species